rnacentral:rRNA from 1 species
GAUGAACGCUGGCGGCGUGCCUAAUACAUGCAAGUCGAACGCAUUGUGGUUGAAAUGAUAUGAAGAACUUGUUCAGAUUUGAUUUUCAACAUUGCAAUGAGUGGCGAACGGGUGAGUAACACGUGGGAAACCUACCUCUUAGCAGGGGAUAACAUUUGGAAACAAAUGCUAAUACCGUAUAAUAAUUAAAACCGCAUGGUUUUAGUUUAAAAGAUGGUCUUGCUAUCACUAAGAGAUGGUCCCGCGGUGUAUUAGUUAGUUGGUGAGGUAAUGGCUCACCAAGACAAUGAUACAUAGCCGAGUUGAGAGACUGACCGGCCACAAUGGGACUGAGACACGGCCCAUACUCCUACGGGAGGCAGCAGUAGGGAAUCUUCCACAAUGGACGAAAGUCUGAUGGAGCAACGCCGCGUGUGUGAUGAAGGGUUUCGGCUCGUAAAACACUGUUGUAAGAGAAGAAUGACAUUGAGAGUAACUGUUCAAUGUGUGACGGUAUCUUACCAGAAAGGAACGGCUAAAUACGUGCCAGCAGCCGCGGUAAUACGUAUGUUCCAAGCGUUAUCCGGAUUUAUUGGGCGUAAAGCGAGCGCAGACGGUUAUUUAAGUCUGAAGUGAAAGCCCUCGGCUCAACCGAGGAAUUGCUUUGGAAACUGGAUAACUUGAGUGCAGUAGAGGAAAGUGGAACUCCAUGUGUAGCGGUGAAAUGCGUAGAUAUAUGGAAGAACACCAGUGGCGAAGGCGGCUUUCUGGACUGUA